rnacentral:lncRNA from 1 species
UAAGAAAAAUUAAUCAAUAACUUCAAUUUUAUAUUCAGUUGCUUUGAACUUCUUUAAUGAUUAAACUUUAAUUUUUUUGAACUUGGUAACUUCGUAUUAUAUUACAACAAUUUUUUUUGAUUUGCACCGGGUGUCCGAGUCUUUUUGAGCCCCGACUAAUCCCGGGGGUGCACAGGCCCUCGGCAAGGAGGUAUUAUAUUACAACAAUACAACCCAUGUACUGAAACCUUAUAUACAGAUGUACUCCAAACUCCACUGCUCUAUGUCUAUAUUGUUAAUAAUUAAACUUAAUUAUAAGAGCCACUCUUAUAUCCUAACAAUAAAAAAGAAAAAGAAUUGAAGAAUAAAAUCUGACAUCUAGCAGACAAGGAAAUGGGAAACAGUAGUAAAAGAAGAUUUGUUGCAAACUAGAGAGUAAACCAAUUAGAACACAAAAGUGAACUAGGAGAGGAAUCCUAGUAUUAAAUAGAAAAACGCCCUAUAAUCCUCCUUUUUCUCUUUAUUUGUCAAUAAAGACAUGGAAAUAAGCAAUAACUUUGUGCCUCAACAUCUUUGAAAUUGCUUCACUUCACCAAUGAGAAGCGAGUCAGCGACAACCCUUCACUUAGAAUCCAAAUAAUUUUUGUUCCUACGAGAUAUGUGCCUUGGAAGAAAAGGAUAGGCCGAUAGGAGUGUCUGAUAAAAAAUCAAUUGUCAAAAGAGAGUGCUUGAUAAAAGUCUGGCUAUUAGUAUGAACAAGGACACAUUGCCCCAUAGGUUAUAGUGUAACUAAGGGGAGACAUCAUAUAUCAUGUGAGAAGGAACUAAUGAAAAAUAAAAAGGCCAAAGGCAUUACGGUCUCCUAAACUGUGCUACAUUGAGCUAUUUAGUAAACCUUUUCCAUAACAGAACUUUGCCUCAAAAUUUAAAAUUAACCCAUUCAGUCCUUCGAAAUAGAAUUUGACAGAGAAUCAACAGUUGAGAUGUUUUUGAACAUGACUAGAACAAGAACGAAAAAGUCAUAUAUGAAUACAUCCAAAUAAAGGGGAAAUAUUUUAGCUAUAGUUCGGAAGAAAUCAUUUAUGCUCCGACAAUUAAUAAGCUAAUAUCUAACUUCUUUAAUAACCAACUACCUGAGGGAUCAAUGGCCACAUGGUUCAAAACUCCGCGGAUAAUGGAACCACCACGCUGCCUUCUCUAAAGCUAUAUGUGACUUUACUUCCCCUAGGCUAGGAUACAAUCAAAGAUUUCUCCAGCUAUCCUUUUCAAACCCACUACUAGCUACACAUUCUUUUUUUCUGCCCAAACGAUUAUUCACUUUCUUUUCCAUAAGCAAUCAAAAACCUCACUACCCCAGUGCUGAUACUCAUCUACAAAUUCUUCUUCCAUAGAUUCUAUUUGGCUAUAAAAAGGCCGAAAUGCAAAAUCAAAC